rnacentral:rRNA from 1 species
UACGGAGGUGGCAAGCGUUGCUCGGAAUCACUGGGCGUAAAGGGCGCGUAGGCGGGGAGGUAAGUCGGGUGUGAAAUCCCUCGGCCCAACUGAGGAACUGCGCCCGAGACUGCUUCUCUUGAGUCCCGGAGAGGAAGAUGGAAUUCCCGGUGUAGUGGUGAAAUGUGUAGAGAUCGGGAGGAACACCGGUGGCGAAGGCGGUCUUCUGGACGGUGACUGACGCUGAGGCGCGAAAGCGUGGGGAGCAAACGGG